AUACGGAGGAUGCAAGCGUUAUCCGGAUUUAUUGGGUUUAAAGGGUGCGUAGGCGGCUUGCUAAGCGGGAGGUGAAAUGCCGGCGCUCAACGUCGGAAGUGCCUCCCGAACUGGUGGACUGGAAUGACUCUGCCGUGGGAGGAAUGUGUAGUGUAGCGGUGAAAUGCUUAGAGAUUACACAGAACACCGAUUGCGAAGGCAUCUCACGAAGGGUUGAUUGACGCUGAGGCACGAAAGCGUGGGGAUCAAACAGGAUUAGACACCCUGGUAGUCCACGCAGUAAACGAUGAUGGCUAACCGCUGGUUUAUUCGGAUCAGUGGCCAAGCGAAAGCGAUAAGCCAUCCACCUGGGGAGUACGACCGCAAGGUUGAAACUCAAAUGAAUUGGCGGGG
rnacentral:rRNA from 1 species